UCUCCUUUUUCUAAUCAGUGAAACUAAUCUUCCCGUGAAGAAGCGGGAAUAAAUAGAUAAGACGAGAAGACCCCAUGGAGCUUUAAGCUUACUGCACCUCUAUUUUCUAUAACCUCUUAUUAAACGGAAUACUGCUUACUUAGCUUUAGGUUGGGGUGACCGCGGAGUAUAACAUAACCUCCAUGAUGAACAAAACUAUUUUCUUAUCUAAGAACAACAGUUCUAAGAAUUAGUAUUCUAACAUAAAAUGAUCCGAUAAUCGAUCAACGGACUAAGUUACCCUGGGGAUAACAGCGCAAUCCAUUUCAAGAGCCCCUAUCGACAAAUGGGUUUACGACCUCGAUGUUGGAUCAGGAUAUCCUAGUGGUGCAGCAGCUACUGAAGGUUCGUUUGUUCAACGAUUAAAAUCCU
rnacentral:rRNA from 1 species